rnacentral:rRNA from 1 species
CCUACGGGGGGCAGCAGUGGGGAAUAUUGCGCAAUGGGCGAAAGCCUGACGCAGCGACGCCGCGUGAGGGAUGAAGGUCUUCGGAUCGUAAACCUCUGUCAGCAGGGAAGAACGGUCACUGUGUUAAUCAGCAGUGAAUUGACGGUACCUGCAAAGGAAGCACCGGCUAACUCCGUGCCAGCAGCCGCGGUAAUACGGAGGGUGCGAGCGUUAAUCGGAAUUACUGGGGGUAAAGCGCUCGUAGGCGGUAUGUCAAGUCAAUGGUGAAAUCCCCGGGCUCAACGUGGGAACUGCCUUUGAAACUGGCAAACUGGAGUGUGUGAGGGGAUAGUGGAAUUCCAGGUGUAGGAGUGAAAUGCGUAGAUAUCUGGAGGAACAUCAGUGGCGAAGGCGACUAUCUGGCACAUAACUGACGCUGAGGAGCGAAAGCGUGGGUAGCAAACAGGAUUAGAUACCCCGGUAGUC